rnacentral:rRNA from 1 species
UUCCCAGAAUAAAUCUGAGAUGCAACCUGCCCAAUGAUUUUAAAUCAAAAUAAAUAACAAUUAUUCAAUAAAAUUAAAAGGACGCGGUAACCUUGACCGUGAUAAUGUAGCAUAAUCAUUCGCCAUUUAAUUGAUGGAUAGCAUGAAUGGUUUAACGAAUAUUCCACUGUCUUAAAAAGAAAUAAACACAAAAAUUAGAAUAAUAGUUAAGAUACUAUUUAAAAUUGUAAGACGAAAAGACCCUAUAGAGCUUAACUAUAAUCUUUUUAAAAGAAAGAAAGGUAGUUUAGUUGGGGCAACUAUCUUCUAAAUUAAACGAAGAAAAUUAAUUAAAAAAUAAUAUAAAUUACUGUAUAAUAAAUAAAUUUAACAGUUAUAAUAAUAGAAUAUAAUGACCCGUUAAUAUUAAAUAAAAAAAAUUAACGAACAAUAAAUAAAAGCUACCUUAGGGAUAACAGGAUAAUUUCAUUCAAGAGAUCUAAUCAAAAAUGAAGUUUGUCACCUCUAUGUUGAAUUAAGAUAUCCUGACGAUGCAGAAGUUGUCAAAGGUAGGUCUGUUCGACCUUUAAAAUCUU